GGAUGUGAUUAUACCAGCACUAAAGCACCGGAUCCCAUCGGAACUCCAAAGUUAAGCGUACUUGGGUGAGAGUAGUACUAGGAUGGGUGACCUCCUGGGAAGUCCUCAUGUUGCAUCCC
rfam:Oryza sativa Japonica Group DNA, chromosome 11, cultivar: Nipponbare, complete sequence.